AUUGAACGCUGGCGGCAGGCCUAACACAUGCAAGUCGAACGAGUGGCGGACGGGUGAGUAAUGUCUGGGAAACUGCCCGAUGGAGGGGGAUAACUACUGGAAACGGUAGCUAAUACCGCAUACCAUCGGAUGUGCCCAGAUGGGAUUAGCUAGUAGGUGGGGUAAUGGCUCACCUAGGAGACGAUCCCUAGCUGGUCUGAGAGGAUGACCAGCCACACUGGAACGGAGGCACGGUCGAGACUCCUGCGGGAGGCAGCAGUGGGGAAGAUUGCACAGUGGGCGCGAGCCAGAUGCAGCCAGGCCGCGUGUAUGAAGAAGGCCUUCGGGUUGUAAAGUACUUUCAGCGAGGAGGCGUUACUCGCAGAAGAAGCACCGGCUAACUCCGUGCCAGCAGCCGCGGUAAUUC
rnacentral:rRNA from 1 species